AACCUUAUGGACCUGCGGGCGUAUACCUGCGGAAGGAUCAUUACAAGUGACCCCGGUCUAACCGCCGGGAUGUUCAUAACCCUUUGUUGUCCGACUCUGUUGCCUCCGGGGCGACCCUGCCUUCGGGCGGGGGCUCCGGGUGGACACUUCAAACUCUUGCGUAACUUUGCAGUCUGAGUAAACUUAAUUAAUAAAUUAAAACUUUCAACAAUGGAUCU
rnacentral:misc_RNA from 1 species